GACGAACGCUGGCGGCGUGCUUAACACAUGCAAGUCGUACGGUAAGGCCCUUUCGGGGGUACACGAGUGGCGAACGGGUGCGUAACACGUGAGUAACCUGCCCACAACUUUGGGAUAACGCUAGGAAACUGGUGCUAAUACUGGAUAUGUGCUCCUGCUGCAUGGUGGGGGUUGGAAAGCUCCGGCGGUUGUGGAUGGACUCGCGGCCUAUCAGCUUGUUGGUGGGGUAGUGGCCUACCAAGGCGGCGACGGGUAGCCGGCCUGAGAGGGUGACCGGCCACAUUGGGACUGAGAUACGGCCCAGACUCCUACGGGAGGCAGCAGUGGGGAAUAUUGCACAAUGGGCGCAAGCCUGAUGCAGCAACGCCGCGUGCGGGAUGACGGCCUUCGGGUUGUAAACCGCUUUCAGCAGGGACGAAGCUUUUUGUGACGGUACCUGCAGAAGAAGCACCGGCUAACUACGU
rnacentral:rRNA from 1 species